rnacentral:rRNA from 1 species
CCUACGGGAGGCAGCAGUGGGGAAUAUUGCACAAUGGGGGAAACCCUGAUGCAGCGACGCCGCGUGAGUGAAGAAGUAUUUCGGUAUGUAAAGCUCUUUCAGCAGGGAAGAAAAGGACGGUACCUGACUCAGAUACCCCGUCUAACUACGUGCCAGCAGCCGCGGUAAUAUGUAGGGGGCAAGCGUUAUCCGGAUUUACUGGGUGUAAAGGGAGCGUAGACGGCAUGACACGUCUGGAGUGAAAGCCCAUGGCUUAACCAUGGAACUGCUUUGGAAACUGUGGAGCUGGAGUGCAGGAGAGGUAAGCGGAAUUCGUAGUGUAGCGGUGAAAUGCGUAGAUAUUAGGAGGAACACCAGUGGCGAAGGCGGCUUACUGGACUGUAACUGACGUUGAGGCUCGAAAGCGUGGGGAGCAAACAGGAUUAGAUACCCUGGUAGUC